CUUUCAAAAAUUUUUUUAUUUUAGAGGAAGGGGAAUGAGGAAGGCGCACGCGCGCGCUCACACACACACACACACACACACACACACGCAGAAAGAGAGAAAAUGUUUGGAAUUGUGAAAGUGCCUUUCCUAGUAGUUGCUUUUACUGGCGCCCGGGCCUCAAUUCAUUUCAUCUCUGAACCAGAUACUAAAAAUCCUCCAGGCGAGUGGAGAGGACCGGCCUUCCUGGAUCGGGAACCUGCCCUCUGUCUUCCCUCGCAGCGCCCUUUCCUCCUUUCGCUUGGGAAAGGAAGAUUUCGAGCCCCAGGAAGGAGUUGGGAGUGAGCGACAGCCCAGAGCGUCCCAUAAGGUCCUUUUGGCCAUGUUUCUGCCCCGGGGGGCUUCACCUAGAUCCCCCACCCCACCCCUUACCCCUGUUGCAAAUACGUAAGCUGGACGCGCCUCGGUGCGGAUCCAGGCCUCGCUGAGCACGGAACCGGAGAAGCAGCUCACGGCCUCGGAUUCUACUCUCACCCAAGGGUGGAAGGGGGUGACAGGGCUCGGAUCUUGCCCCAAACGCUGCACAGGCCCGCAGGAGAGCAAAGAGGUCUCGGACAGGCUGUCCUUCCCCAGCUCUCGGUCGCGACAAGGUCCCGACAGGCCCGGGAACCGGCGAACCGCCUGCAGGUAACCCUGCGCUGGGUACCUGCCUUCCCUCUCCAGCUACCGGGGCGGGGCGCGGCGCGGCGCGGCGCGGCGCGGCGGGCUGCCCGGGUGGGGGAUGAAGAAAGCACGGCGGACCCAGGGCAGCGAAGCGCAGGUCUUUUUCCUUUUGAGAACUAAGAUCAAGAUUGCAGGGAUUCAGUUAGAAGCCGCUCACCUACCUCCACCUCCCACCCUACCCUGUCCGAUUUGUCUUUUGCUGCCGCAUUGAUUGCUACCUUCCCCCCUCCCUUCGCUUGCAAAGGACACAUCGGGAGUGGACGAACCAAACUAAAAAAUGAAUUAGUGAUCGAAUAAGAGGCAGUGGGGUGAGAAGCUCCUUUUGCCGACGCCCUGGGAGGGGGUGGAACCGGCUUAGGUCACCCAUUCGUUUUCCAGCAGCCGCUGGGUUACUUCCCACCAGCUUUGCAAAGACGCCUGCGAUUUCCUUUGGUCUACAGUUCUGUCCUAGACUUCGUUCGGCUGAUCGAUGAAGGAGACAAGCUGGCCCACGGGGAGGUCAAUACAAUCGAUGCGGACCUCGACGAAACGGAAGAAUCUCGCAGGUUCCUGCGUGCUGGGUUCCACUCAAAAUGUUUCAGGAUUUAGGGUUUCUGCCUCCUCGCUGUCAUUAUGGAACUGGACGGAGGAUGGCGGUGGGUGGGUAGGAAGAAGCCUCAAGGCCCAUUCAGAUGAGCCUAGGGGUACACCGGGCCCGGAGAGCGCCCCCACCCCCACUUCCACCCAACUGGUGUAGCCCAUACCACCGAGUGGUGAAAUCAUCAGAGCUCCCUAGUAGAUUUCGUUCUUGAACUUCUCGGCCUUGGAAUCAGACGCCCGGGUCAUUGCGCAGCGGGGCCACACCCCUUAGCUCCGGGUUCCUCACCUGAGAAAUGAGUUUCUUAUAAAAUGCGAUUUAUUGGCGAGAACAUUUGUGAAAUACUCAGGAAGAUGACAAUGUUCUAAGAGUUCUCCCACACAUCGGCUCAUCAACUACAAUAAUCUAAUGAGGCAGGAGCCUUCUCAGUGAUCUCCACUUUCCAGACGAGGAAACAGAGACACGCAGAGAAAGACAGAGGCUUGCCCGAAGUCGCACAGCCAGUGUUUUGGGGAGCUGGAAUUUACCCUGGGGCUUGUCUAACUCGAGUCCGACUUUUAACAGCAAAACAGUAGGAGUCCGAUACACGCACACAGUGGGUACACAGUAGCGAUCUGUUUUCUUUAUAUCUUCGCCCUUUAGGAAGAGAAAUUCCAUCUAACCCUUUCCCCGCGCAGAUUUGAAAACUGCCUGUAUUCUUUGGUCCCUUCCUUCUGGAAGCAAAUGCAAUUGGUGGGUGGGGAGUGCGAGUCUGACAAAAACCUUCUUAAACUCUGGAAAUCCAGAUCUUUACCGCCCCCUCUUUUUUCAGUACGAAGGAACGAGGGGAAAGUGCGCGCGCGCGCGCGCGUGUGUGUGAGUGUGUGUGCGUGUGUGUGUGUGUAUGCGCACGCAUGUGUGUCUAGAAUCAAUACGGCCCAGACAGCCCUUCACAAAGGGGCUCCAGGCGGGCGCCUCCGCGGCACAGCCUCCGCCCCACCGCCCGCGGCGAAUUAAUUGGGCCCUGAAAGAAGGGGCGACAUAGCUUCCAGUU
rnacentral:lncRNA from 10 species